GAUGAACGCUGGCGGCGUGCCUAAUACAUGCAAGUCGAGCGAACAGACGAGGAGCUUGCUCCUCUGACGUUAGCGGCGGACGGGUGAGUAACACGUGGAUAACCUACCUAUAAGACUGGGAUAACUUCGGAAAACCGGAGCUAAUACCGGAUAACAUGUUGAACCGCAUGGAUCAACAGUGAAAGACGGUUUUGCUGUCACUUAUAGAUGGAUCCGCGUCGCAUUAGCUAGUUGGUAAGGUAACGGCUUACCAAGGCAACGAUGCGUAGCCGACCUGAGAGGGUGAUCGGCCACACUGGAACUGAGACACGGUCCAGACUCCUACGGGAGGCAGCAGUAGGGAAUCUUCCGCAAUGGGCGAAAGCCUGACGGAGCAACGCCGCGUGAGUGAAGAAGGUCUUCGGAUCGUAAAACUCUGUUAUUAGGGAAGAACAAAUGUGUAAGUAACUAUGCACGUCUUGACGGUACCUAAUCAGAAAGCCACGGCUAACUACGUG
rnacentral:rRNA from 1 species